rnacentral:misc_RNA from 1 species
AAGUCGUAACAAGGUUUCCGUAGGUGAACCUGCGGAAGGAUCAUUACCGAGAGUCAUCUCUCCACCCACUUGUGUACCGUCCUCUGUUUCUUCGGCGGGCCGGCCCGCUCCGGCCCGUCGGUGGCAACUCUGUCGUGGAACCUGCUGUCUGAGUUGGGCUUCCAAAUGAACAAAACUUUCAACAACGGAUCUCUUGGCUCUC